UCGGACCGCCCCCUGCUGCGCAUCCCGCCGAGCCGCCGGGCGCGGGCCCUUGUGCGGCCGGCCAGGCUGCCUGGGAGCGCCUCUUCGGGCUGCGGUCGGGUGUGUCUGUGUGCUCCGCGUCAUCUGUCAGGGAUACCCAGAGAAGUCAGGGGACUUGGCGUCCUCACCUUUCUGUAAAAACGUUGUACUUUGUUCGAGCUUCUCUAGAUCUCUGUGGGAUGUGAGGAUGCACCCUGCUCACGAGGAGAAGCAGCUGCCUGUGCCCUAAGGAUACCAAUAGCCCUGACCAGUCUCUACCCUCUGCUCAGGGGCUCUACUCUUGCAAGAGCUGUGUUGUAGCAGUACCAGCCUCCAACUCAGCAACAGCCACACCCCUGCUUCCCAUCUGGGCUUUGGACCACACUUUUACUCCACACUUGUCUGGUGAACACCAGGCUGUGUCUGACCCCGGAUAUCAUCACCAGGUCUGAUCCUCACUUUGGCCUUGGACCUGCCUCAUCACCAUGGGCAUGCCUGGUGACAAUCAGGCCAUGCCUGACCCAGACUAACAUCACUGGACCUGCCCCUGAGACACAUUUAUGCAUUGACCUCAGAGCUGCCUCACUACCAGGGACUUGCAUGGACUGGACACUUGGUUUCCCUGAGUGCUCUCCCAGUGCCUGCCCUACUGAUAUUACUUAGAGUGUGUGGGACAUGGACUUCCCUGUCCCUCCACUGGGGAGCAGCCAGCUCUUGCUGCUUUUUGAUACUGAGAGCAUGGAU
rnacentral:lncRNA from 1 species